rnacentral:rRNA from 1 species
UACGUAGGGGGCUAGCGUUGUCCGGAAUCAUUGGGCGUAAAGCGCGUGUAGGCGGUCCGGUAAGUCCGCUGUGAAAGUCGGGGGCUCAACCCCCGGAUGCCGGUGGAUACUGUCGGGCUUGAGUACGGAAGAGGCGAGUGGAAUUCCUGGUGUAGCGGUGAAAUGCGCAGAUAUCAGGAGGAACACCAAUUGCGAAGGCAGCUCGCUGGGACGUUACUGACGCUGAGACGCGAAAGCGUGGGGAGCAAACAGG